rnacentral:rRNA from 1 species
AGUGAACGCUGGCGGUAGGCCUAACACAUGCAAGUCGAACGGCAGCACAGUAAGAGCUUGCUCUUACGGGUGGCGAGUGGCGGACGGGUGAGGAAUACAUCGGAAUCUACUUUUUCGUGGGGGAUAACGUAGGGAAACUUACGCUAAUACCGCAUACGACCUACGGGGGAAAGCAGGGGAUCUUCGGACCUUGCGCGAAUGAAUGAGCCGAUGUCGGAUUAGCUAGUUGGCGGGGUAAAGGCCCACCAAGGCGACGAUCCGUAGCUGGUCUGAGAGGAUGAUCAGCCACACUGGAACUGAGACACGGUCCAGACUCCUACGGGAGGCAGCAGUGGGGAAUAUUGGACAAUGGGCGCAAGCCUGAUCCAGCCAUACCGCGUGGGUGAAGAAGGCCUUCGGGUUGUAAAGCCCUUUUGUUGGGAAAGAAAAGCAGCAGGUUAAUACCCCGCUGUUCUGACGGUACCCAAAGAAUAAGCACCGGCUAACUUCGUG